rnacentral:tRNA from 1 species
GGGGAUGUGGCUCAGUGGCAGAGGGCUUGUCUGGCAUGCAUGAAGCCCUGGGUUCCAUCCCCAGCACUACCC